AAAUGACUCUCGGCAACGGAUAUCUCGGCUCUCGCAUCGAUGAAGAACGUAGCGAAAUGCGAUACUUGGUGUGAAUUGCAGAAUCCCGUGAACCAUCGAGUCUUUGAACGCAAGUUGCGCCCGAAGCCACUGGGCCGAGGGCACGUCUGCCUGGGCGU
rnacentral:rRNA from 1 species